GGAGCGGCCAAAGCAUAGAUCGUGCGUCACUAUACGCACAGCUUCAUACGAUCACCAGGAGUUGGGUAGCCCCGACAUCAGAUAUAGAGUGAGAGACACAUGUACGCUGGCUACAAGAACACGACAAGCCAGGGGCAACCUUGUCCUGUUCUGCAAAAAGCAUAGCCACCUCCUAGUAUUCCCAUCUCGUUCUUCCUUCUCUUAACCUCAAACCCCAACCCACUCCUCAAUGUGCAGCUCUUGUGUUACCACUUUCUAGUUUGAUCGUGCCCAGCAAACAACUCAAUUCUUCUCUUCAUCGUCUCUGCGACAGUAGGUGACAUCCUCCUUGCUAUAAGAGUCUGUGUGUGUGCAGCAUUUGGUACGAUGAGUGGUCCGUUGCCAUGGUGAUGCAGUGAGUGACCGCUCGCAUUGUGUCUUCAUCCUGCGGUGUGCAUGAGCAGGCAAGGAGGAAGAGCAGUCGAUGGAAGGCAUGCAAAGGAAGGGAUGUGUGCACAGGAUCAGGAAGUGCGCGGUCGAUCUGCUGUCGAUGGAGGACGAUCUGAUCGAUGCCGAGGAGAAGGAUGGGUGGGAGCUGACGGGCAGCGAGCUUCGCCUCAAGUCCACAUUCUUGUACUGUGAUCUCCACCAGGUGAUCGCCAGUGCCGGAGAAGAGCGCAAGAAGGCUCUCACCCUCCUCGCCAACAAGCUCUUCUACCGCCUGGAACAGGAAACUCCUCUUCACCUUUUCUCUCUGUGACAACCCCUGCUACUUUGUUGUUAGUGUCUGGAGGAAGAAGACGAAAGUGGUCGGUGUGUGUGUACAGGUUUCUCA